rnacentral:tRNA from 2 species
GGGAGUGUGCCCGAGUGGUUAAAGGGGACGGGCUGUAAACCCGUUAGCUAUGCUUACCAAGGUUCGAAUCCUUGCGCUCCCACCA